CAAAGAUUAAGCCAUGCAUGUCUAAGUACAACUAUAUUAAAGUGAAACCGCGAAAGGCUCAUUAAAUCAGUUAUGGUUCCUUAGAUCGUACCACAAUUACUUGGAUAACUGUGGUAAUUCUAGAGCUAAUACAUGCAAACAGAGCUCUGACCGGAGACGGAAGGAGUGCUUUUAUUAGAUCAAAACCUAUCGGUGGCGGUAUCGUUUCGGCGGUAUCCGUUCAUCGCUCAAUAAAUGGUGAAUCUGAAUAACUUUAUGCUGAUCGCAUGGUCUUGUACCGGCGACGCAUCUUUCAAAUGUCUGCCUUAUCAACUGUCGAUGGUAGGAUCUGCGCCUACCAUGGUUGUAACGGGUAACGGGGAAUCAGGGUUCGAUUCCGGAGAGGGAGCCUGAGAAACGGCUACCACAUCCAAGGAAGGCAGCAGGCGCGCAAAUUACCCACUCCCGGCACGGGGAGGUAGUGACGAAAAAUAACGAUACGGGACUCAUCCGAGGCCCCGUAAUCGGAAUGAGUACACUUUAAAUCCUUUAACGAGGACCAAUUAGAGGGCAAGUCUGGUGCCAGCAGCCGCGGUAAUUCCAGCUCUAAUAGCGUAUAUUAAAGUUGUUGCGGUUAAAAAGCUCGUAGUUGAAUUUGUGUCCCGCACUGUCGGUUCACCGCCCGCGGUGCUAACUGGCAUGUUUGCGGGACGUCCUGCCGGUGGAUGUUCAGUGGUCAAUUGAUUUCGGUCAGUUUUCCAUUUCAUCCGGCUUAUGAAUCCUGUCGCGGUGCUCUUAACUGAGUGUCGAGGCGGGCCGGCACGUUUACUUUGAACAAAUUAGAGUGCUCAAAGCAGGCUAACAAAUGCCUGAAUAAUUAGUGCAUGGAAUAAUGGAACAGGACCUUGGUUCUAUUUUGUUGGUUUUUCGGAACCCCCAGGUAAUGAUUAAUACGGGACAGAUGGGGGCAUUCGUAUGCGACGUUA
rnacentral:rRNA from 1 species